AGUGAACGCUGGCGGUAGGCCUAACACAUGCAAGUCGAACGGCAGCACAGUAAGAUCUUGCUCUUACGGGUGGCGAGUGGCGGACGGGUGAGGAAUACAUCGGAAUCUACUUUUUCGUGGGGGAUAACGUAGGGAAACUUACGCUAAUACCGCAUACGACCUACGGGUGAAAUCAGGGGAUCUUCGGACCUUUCGCGAUUGAAUGAGCCGAUGUCGGAUUAGCUAGUUGGCGGGGUAAAGGCCCACCAAGGCGACGAUCCGUAGCUGGUCUGAGAGGAUGAUCAGCCACACUGGAACUGAGACACGGUCCAGACUCCUACGGGAGGCAGCAGUGGGGAAUAUUGGACAAUGGGCGAAAGCCUGAUCCAGCCAUACCGCGUGGGUGAAGAAGGCCUUCGGGUUGUAAAGCCCUUUUGUUGGGAAAGAAAAGCAGCAGGUUAAUACCCCGCUGUUCUGACGGUACCCAAAGAAUAAGCACCGGCUAACUUCGUG
rnacentral:rRNA from 1 species